ACUCCUACGGGAGGCAGCAGUGGGGAAUAUUGGACAAUGGGCGCAAGCCUGAUCCAGCCAUGCCGCGUGAGUGAUGAAGGCCCUAGGGUUGUAAAGCUCUUUCAGCGAGGAGGAUAAUGACGUUACUCGCAGAAGAAGCCCCGGCUAACUUCGUGCCAGCAGCCGCGGUAAUUAA
rnacentral:rRNA from 1 species